rnacentral:rRNA from 1 species
GUGGGGAAUUUUGGACAAUGGGCGCAAGCCUGAUCCAGCAAUGCCGCGUGCAGGAAGAAGGCCUUCGGGUUGUAAACUGCUUUUGUACGGAACGAAAAGGCUCUGGUUAAUACCUGGGGCUCAUGACGGUACCGUAAGAAUAAGCACCGGCUGACUACGUGCCAGCAGCCGCGGUAAUACGUAGGGUGCAAGCGUUACUCGGAAUUACUGGGCGUAAAGCGUGCGCAGGCGGUUUUGUAAGACAGACGUGAAAUCCCCGGGCUCAACCGGGGAAUGGCGUUUGUGACUGCAAAGCUGGAGUGCGGCAGAGGGAGAUGGAAUUCCGCGUGUAGCAGUGAAAUGCGUAGAUAUGCGGAGGAACACCGAUGGCGAAGGCAAUCCCCUGGGCCUGCACUGACGCUCAUGCACGAAAGCGUGGGGAGCAAACAGGAUUAGAAACCCGAGUAGUCC